CAGAGGAGAGUGAUUCAGUUUAUGGUAACUCAUCAUCUCCACCGACGGCAGGUCAACUGGAAACUCUAGUGCAUGUGACCUGCAAGUUUUGUCUUUGAAAUCGGAGAGUCACAGUCACAUUACGGUGGAUCCGAUCUGCACAUUCACGUUGGAGGAGGAACAUGAAAGGCGAUUAUUUCUGGGAAAGUAAAGCAAGCACCAUUACAGAAGAUUUUCACAGUAGGGAUGUUGGAUCAGAGGCUUGUAGGAGCCACCAAUCAGCCAAAACCAGCUCAGUGGCAUAGAAUUGCAGUGCGCAAGAGUGGUCUAGAGCAUCUUAUUGUAGAAUGGUGGUCUGUGGUUUUACAAGACAGUAGACCUGCAAUUUCUGCAUUUUUUGUUCAAUUGGUGUUGGGACAGUCUAUGACAAGAGGCAACCAAGUUCUGUGCCAGUUGAGACAAACCAUUGAUGAAUUGGAAAUGAUGCAUACAUGAGAAUGUUGUACACUUUCUCGCUGAAUUAAAAAUGAUGCAUUACGACACCGUGAUGUUCCUUCCAUCCAUGCUUACACAUCAAGAUGCUCUCUGAUUCUGUUUUUGCAUUUUCUGCAGGUCUGAUUAUGUUUUUGCAUUCUUCUGCAAGUUUUUUCACUUGUGUCUUGUAUUUACUUUGUUCCAAUACACCAAAUUUCAUACACUUAAAACAUCA